UCGGCAUUUGUCCCGGUUGUUAUAGGUGUGGGCAGCUGACUUCCGAGCGCAUCGUCGCUAAUGUGAGAGAUGUAACGAACUCGUCGACUCACGUGCACCGCGCAGAGGUAAAACCCGAUAUCCCGGGGCGAGCGAUGCCCAGUGGAUUAUAACGAGAAGCUCGCGGGGAGAGCUGAUUCGGCAUUUUUACGUGUCAGGUGUGUACACGUGCGGAUGAAAGAGACAGGCUGCUCGUUCCGUUUCACGUCGAUCGUGCAACAAACCUCCAAGAGCAGACUCUCGCUCUCGUUUCUCGGUCUGCGGCCAGCAUAGGAAAUGUGGAAACCAGCGGCUUCUCUCUUUCUCGAUGGAUAACGUCAAUCGUCGUAUAGUCGUGCGUGUUCCAGCAAACGCUAAUGCGUUGACACCAAGAUCGACGUGUCCAAAGAGUGACUUGAACGUGUGACGUACUUGUGGAUGCAAUUAGUGGAAAGUGUUUCAUUUGAUACGGUUAUUAGGAAUCGAAAUUUUAUAAAUCAGAGUGUUAGCAAGGCUUCGUAUUCGCGGGACUUUAAUUAAUACGUAAAAGCGAUGAACUUUCAUUAUAUCCUAAUCCAAAAAUACGCACAAGUGAAUCAGUAGAUAAAUGUCGAGAUUGCCCAGACACUCCAGUUCCUCAUAGUAUUGUGCGUUUCACGACUAUACAAAAAAUUCAUUGUGCUCUGAAAAUCUCUUUAAAAAGAAGAAAAGAAACGUUGCAAGCAAAAAGAGCAUUCCUGACAUCCAGUCCGCCCAAUAAUACACAAUUCUUCCGAUUUAUACUGAUAAUGAUCUACCUAUAAUCACGAUCCCAUGCGAGUACACAGCAAUGCAGCAAAAAAAAUCGAAUAGACAGACGAUGAAUGAUACAGCGACGAGAGAGGCGUGGAAAGUGUCGGGGAAUGCAGGGCGCGGGUUUUCUUCGCGAGCGGGAAAGAGGAAACGGGAAGUACACACUGCGUGCGCUGACACGCGAAUACUAAUGACGACGAAUGGGAACUUUCAAGGCUGUAAAGUCUGCAACGUGUCGACCUCAUGGUCUGUACGUACACUCGCUGGUAUUGGAAAAGCGCACGUGAAGCGUAUAUUCCACGCGCGAUAAAUCGGCGUAUGCUACGUUUAGACCCGAUGAAUUUUACGCAAUGUUGUGAUUUCCGCGCUUCGAAACGUGCACGCGCGCGAAGGAUAAGGUGAACGUGCUAUAAUGGUGGGUCUAUUUUAUGGCUUGGCUUUUUUUUAAAUUUAUGAUGGCAGACGAGA